UUGGUGGAGGGGAGGAUGAUGGAGUCCUCUCUGUGGUAUCCUUUUGGCCCCGGGACCAAGCUGGAACUCAAACGUAGCACAGUUGCACCAGUUGCCUCCAUCUUCCCACCAGCUAAGGAUAUGCUGCAAACCAACACAGUCUCUAUCGUCUGCAUAGCGGAUAAAUUCUACCCCAAAACAAUCACUGUCACCUGGAAGGUGGGUGGCGUUACCCAGACCACUGGCAUCCUGGAGAGCAUCACACCACAGAACGACACAGACAAUACCUACAGCCUCAGUAGCACUCUGUCACUGAGCACUGCAACUUACAAAAGCAACAAUGUGUACACCUGCGAGAUAACACAUGAAGGCCUGACCUCACCGCUUGUCAAGAGCUUUAAUAGUAAUGAAUGUUAAAGCCAGACACUCACCCAGCACCAUCAGCGGGUCCUGAGGCCCAGCCUCGAUGCUUCCCUGCCCUCGGUGGACCCAGCCCCCACUGCAGUGCAGUCCUCCAGCCCCUCACCUCUUGUGCCCUCCCCACCCCUUCCUUGGCUUUGAUCAUGCGAAUAUUGGUGGGGGAAAUGGAUAAAUAAAGAGAAUCUUUGCACCUGUUA